rnacentral:sRNA from 1 species
CAAUGCAAUAGCGCUAUCAAUCACUUCGCUGUCCAUCUGGAGGCUCUGGAGCAGCCGGUGGAAUAUCAUCUCCUGGUCCCUCUGAAGAUUCCGCCACUGCUUCGUCGGCUCUAGAUUGGUUGAGCCCUCGACGGUAAUCUAUAAACCUUUCCCAAGCCCAUCUACUCAAAUCGUCUCGAUCAUCGAGCCGCAAUUUAGAGAGCCUCUUUGAUUCAUCCAUCUUAUCAAAUCUAACACCCGUCGGUGCCUUUUCGAUAGGGUCCCAACCCUCCGGCUGUUCGGAAGGCCAAGUGAACCCGCCCUUAUUCAUCCAGCUCAACAGCGGAAGAUCGUCAUCUUCCUUUGGGAUGGUGACUUCGGUAACCCAAGAUCUUGGUUGGCGAGGCGCUGCCUUUUUAGGUUUGGCAUAUAAGGAAAAUCCACUGUUGGUGCGACGGCUUGAUUUAGGUGGACCACCGAGAAGGUCGUCAAGUGUUUGACCGUCGAUACUGAGCGAUAUAGUCCUCACAUCAAGAGUCGAAGGAGGUUGGUUGGAUGGGACGGCGCCCGUCCGGCGAGAGCUGCCGGUAGAGCUUGUGGGUGGUGCCGUAUUCCGUCUCUUUAACGGCUCAAGUUUUUGCCCAGGCCUUUUCUCUGCCGCACUACUCGAUGCUUUCGUCCGAGACUUCCUCUCUAAGGGAAACGUAUCAGCACGUUUCUUACCCUUUUCAUUUGAAAGAGGAUCGUCCUCUGAUUUUGCAUCGAUACCCGCUCCUGCUUCUGUUCCUUCGGUGGAAGGAUGUCUCGCUGUCUUCGAGGAAUUAGAUUUAGAUGGGGUUCUCAACUUCCUACUACUAGGAGCAGUGGAAGGAGCUCCGAAAGACCAAAAACUCCUCAUCGACGUUUUAGCACCCCCCGUACUACUAGGUUUUGCCAUCGUCGUCGCUCCGCUUUUUCCUCUUUCGUGUCUUUUUUUGGCCGCACGAUCAAUCGCAUCCCAAUCAAUAUCAGGUUCCCUUCUCCCACCAGCCGGUGGGCCAGCGCGUGUAUCAGUCAUAGACAGAAACGUUUCUGUAUGGUUGGUCUCUGUUGGGAGCUGGGAGGCAUCACCUUCCGCCGCAGGCGGUUCAGUAAUAUCAUCCGUAGGCGAAGGGGGCAGAGCAGUGCCCUCAGUUUCGGGGAUAUCAUCCAAUUUGGUACUUUUCAUGUCCUCCUCAAUAUCUUGUAAUACUUCACUCUCCCCCUCUACAACCCCUGACAACGUCCAAGUUGAAGCAGGAGGAGGGGCAGAGUUCGAUUCUUCAGACGGGGGAACUGCACUGAUUUCUGUUCUGCUGCUAUGGUGGCGCCGUCUGCUACUCUGCUCAGUGGUACUGCCACUUCCUUCAUGACUGCUUUUAAUAGACUUCCCAGUGGUUAGUGUGUUAGGGAUGUUAGCACUAGAUGUGCUAGACCGUCGUCGCCCACGGCCGUAAUGGCUUUCCGGGACGAAGCCCCAGGCGUUAAAUGGCAUUAUUGCAGCGUGUAUGUCGUUAUCGUAAUUUUUUUGUUAUCGGUUUCGCAGAUGUUCUACGCAGUGAGAUACGGCUACGGUGUGUUGAGCUGUGAAACUAUGCUUAUUCUGAAAAAUAGAGCAAAAACAUAGAGGGGAAGAAAAUGUGGUGAUUCAAAAAAUGCGAUGGAUAAUCUUUCAUGAGCAAAGUGUCUCGUAUUUUUACUGCUCUACUCGGUAGAGAAGACCACUUGUACAGCCGUCGGAAUCGGAGCUGAUUCGAAGACAUUAUAAAGGAGGAUCCUGAAG